rnacentral:rRNA from 1 species
AUUCCAGCUCCAAUAGCGUAUAUUAAAGUUGUUGCAGUUAAAAAGCUCGUAGUUGGAUUUCUGGGAGGGUGCCAAUGUCCGUCGUCGUACGUGUUGCAGCGGCGCCCUUCCAUCCUUCUGUUAACGACUUUGGGCAUUCACUUGCCGGAGUCGGGCUCAGAUAUUUUACCUUGAGAAAAUUAGAGUGUUUCAGGCAGGCUAGGCCGGAAUACAUUAGCAUGGAAUAAUGGAAUAGGACUACGGUCUCUUUGUUGGUUUGAGGGACUGCAGUAAUGAGGAAUAGGGAUAGUUGGGGGCAUUAGUAUUUAAUUGUCAGAGGUGGAAUUCUCGGAUUUCUUAAAGACCACCCCCCCCGCCACCAUCUCCCAACCCUGUUCUCAUCA